GUAAUGGCAGAUUAAGUGCUCUCUCUGUGUGGACGCUGUUCGUAUGGCCAUCUUGUCGCACAAAAAGAGACAGCGGGACUUGGUCGUUGAGUGUCUGGAACUAAAAUCGGACACUCGAAUUCCCGAACGCCGGUCAACUUUGCGAACGCCUGCUUCUUUUCACCGACCAGCCAGGAGAGCGCUAUUCGGUAGGUUUGUUCCCACGAACAAGGGGAACAAAUGCUACCCAUGAGCCAGGGGAGCAGUUUGUGGAUUUUUUCGGUUUUAGAACUCCCCGAAAUAGACCGACCACUACCUCUGAAACUGUGGAACUAUUUUGGGCAUAAGACUUUGUGUGUGGUCGGUCAAAAUAUGACUUCCAUGGAAAUCCCGAACCUCUGAACCAACCUGGGUGAUUUCUGGAUAUGUUGGUCCCCCAGAUCAGGACUAUCAGGGGAUGUGGCUGUUGUUUUGGGGGUAUUUUUGGGGUGUUAUUACAAUGUUUUUAGUGCCUGGAGAUAAUUCAGUUUAGUACACUUCCUGACUCAAUUAUCUCACAGGCACAGGGGAGGGAUUAUCUUGUUUUGUGUGGGAAUAUCCUGGACCUGAGAGCCAAUGUAGUUACAGUAUGUAUUUUGUCAUAGUCCCCUCUCAGGUCCAGUGGGGAAUGCCCCUGGAAUAUGUCACAGUAAACCCCUUGCAUGGGGACUUGCAUAUAAACCG